AUUGAACGCUGGCGGCAGGCCUAACACAUGCAAGUCGAACGAGUGGCGGACGGGUGAGUAAUGUCUGAGAAACUGCCUGAUGGAGGGGGAUAACUACUGGAAACGGUAGCUAAUACCGCAUACCAUCAGCUGUGCCCAGAGGGGAUUAGCUUGUUGGUGGGGUAACGGCUCACCAAGGCGACGAUCCCUAGCUGGUCUGAGAGGAUGACCAGCCACACUGUAACGGAGACACGGCACAGACUCCGACGGGAGGCAGCAGGGGGGAAUAGGGCACAAUGGGAGCAAGCCUGAUGCCGCCAUGCCGCGUGUAUGAAGAAGGCCUUCGGGGUGUAAAGUACUUACAGCGGGGAGGCGUUACCCGCAGAAGAAGCACCGGCUAACUCCGUGCCAGCAGCCGCGGUAAUUC
rnacentral:rRNA from 1 species